rnacentral:misc_RNA from 1 species
AACGAAUCCAACCCCUGCGGUCUCCUCCUACCCUUUCCCCCAUCGAAUCAUCCAUUAAAUCCUUGGCCUUUCCUGAGGGGGAGAGGAGAACCGUUGCCGAUCUCUGCAAUUCCUCGAUCUGUUCAUCUCUCUUGGGUUGCUUUAAUUCAAGUCACCUGACUUUCCGGUUCCCUGUGAUUUGUUUUUGUAUAGGCGCUUCGUUUUACGUAAAGAUUUUAAGGAGCGAACAUUUUCCUUAAUGCAAGGUCAAGGGAAUAGUGUUGAAUCCUUUGCUGAAACAUUUGAGUUUGACCGUGGGUCUGCCAUGGGCAACCCCGGCAUGGAUCACCAAGUAUACUUAAAUGACUCACUCCGUGGUCCAGUUGAAACUCAGACCUUACAAGAAUAUCGACUAUCUUCAGGUGAUACAAAUAUGCCAUAUGCAAAUGCAACAAGUCAAGAUGGUGCUAGUUUAAAU